ACUCCUACGGGAGGCAGCGGUGGGGAAUAUUGGACAAUGGGCGAAAGCCUGAUCCAGCAAUGCCGCGUGUGUGAAGAAGGCCUGCGGGUUGUAAAGCACUUUCGGUUGGGAAGAAAUUUUCUCAGCGAAUAACUGAGGAAUUUGACACUACCUUCAGAAGAAGCACCGGCUAACUCCGUGCCAGCAGCCGCGGUAAUAC
rnacentral:rRNA from 1 species